rnacentral:rRNA from 1 species
UACGUAGGGACCAAGCGUUGUUCGGAUUUACUGGGCGUAAAGGGCGCGUAGGCGGCGAAUCAAGUCAGCUGUGAAAUCUCCGAGCUUAACUCGGAACGGUCAGCUGAUACUGUUUUGCUAGAGUGCAGAAAGGGCAACCGGAAUUCUUGGUGUAGCGGUGAAAUGCGUAGAUAUUAAGAGGAACACCUGAGGCGAAGGCGGGUUGCUAGGCUGACACUGACGCUGAAGCGCGAAAGCUAGGGUAGCAAACGGG